rnacentral:rRNA from 1 species
AGUGAACGCUGGCGGUAGGCCUAACACAUGCAAGUCGAACGGCAGCACAGAGGAGCUUGCUCCUUGGGUGGCGAGUGGCGGACGGGUGAGGAAUACAUCGGAAUCUACUCUGUCGUGGGGGAUAACGUAGGGAAACUUACGCUAAUACCGCAUACGACCUACGGGUGAAAGCAGGGGAUCUUCGGACCUUGCGCGAUUGAAUGAGCCGAUGUCGGAUUAGCUAGUUGGCGGGGUAAAGGCCCACCAAGGCGACGAUCCGUAGCUGGUCUGAGAGGAUGAUCAGCCACACUGGAACUGAGACACGGUCCAGACUCCUACGGGAGGCAGCAGUGGGGAAUAUUGGACAAUGGGCGCAAGCCUGAUCCAGCCAUACCGCGUGGGUGAAGAAGGCCUUCGGGUUGUAAAGCCCUUUUGUUGGGAAAGAAAUCCAGCCGGCUAAUACCUGGUUGGAUGACGGUACCCAAAGAAUAAGCACCGGCUAACUUCGUGCCAGCAGCCGCGGUAAUACGAAGGGUGCAAGCGUUACUCGGAAUUACUGGGCGUAAAGCGUGCGUAGGUGGUUAUUUAAGUCCGUUGUGAAAGCCCUGGGCUCAACCUGGGAACUGCAGUGGAUACUGGAUGACUAGAAUGUGGUAGAGGGUAGCGGAAUUCCUGGUGUAGCAGUGAAAUGCGUAGAGAUCAGGAGGAACAUCCAUGGCGAAAGGCAGCUACCUGGACCAACAUUGACACUGAGGCACGAAAGCGUGGGGGAGCAAACAGG